CUUUUUCUACAGUUCCAGCAACUUGUCUCAUUCCCCUGCCUUCAGCUUCAUGAUGCUCUUUCUCGGGGAGUCAGCUAAGCCCUGCCAGAAGAAGUUGUGAGACUGACCUAUUGACAAGGAUCCAAGUCACACAUCACUUGAGGCAUGAAGAUCACACACAAUUCACUGCAGUCCUAAGGGUGUGUUAAUUUUAAUGUGUGAUGGUGAAAAAAGGUGAUUCAAAAAGGAAGCUAAAAGAUCCUAUUGCACCUUCUGAAAAUACUGAGAGAAACUUGGUAUCCUGUUUUAAACACUACUGGACUUUGAACAUUUUCUCUCUCGGCGGGAGUGUGUGAGCUAUUGCUUAGCUCAUAGGAGCUGCUAUGAAUAAUUUAUUUGUAAACUAGUGGGAUGAGUGAGCAGCAUCAGAACACAACAAGAGGCAGUAAGGUGCAUUCAGCAGGACUGACCCUCUAGCAACAAACCAAAGAGUUACGAACAAGAGCAUUUCUCAGCGGGAUAUCAACAGACCUUCGGACUCAGGCAUUCUCCUCUUCCAGUCUUUCCAGCAACCCUUCUCAUACCUGUUUCCUUCACACUGAGAAGGAGAAAGGGAAGGUGGAGUUCUGGUCUGAUGCACAGGAGCCCAGAUAGUACCUCUGCAUUCUGGUACAAGCGCUCUGGAAUAAUUUGAGAAAAAUACAUGAUUUAAACCUCUUUUGUCUUGUCCUGAGAGCUAAGCAAGGGCUGAAGCUGGAGUUUAGACACCAAUCAUCCCUGUGAAGCCAUUAUUUGAUACUAUAUUUUAGUGUGUAGGUUUUUACUUGUAAUUGCACUAGUCUAAUCCACAAAGCUAAAAUUUCAUUUAAAUGUGCAUGUCAGAUGCUCUUGCCCACAAUUUCACAGACUUCACUCAAGGAAAGAAAACUACUCCUAAAACAUAUUAAAAUAAUAGUUCCAAUAAUAACACACAGGUGGAGCUCAUCUGAAGUAAUGAGGUUCUGAACAGAUGUUUAGUGUAAACAACACUUUUUGUGACCUAAAAGCUAAGCCAGCUUUCAUGUUGCUUCUAAAUGGCUUGUUUUGUUCCCUCUGAACAAAACUGGAAAAGCAAGUCUCAUCUCUGCUUUCUUCUUGUGAUGCUGGUGCUUAUGAAAAGGAGGUGUAAAUA